rnacentral:rRNA from 1 species
GACAGAGGGUGCAAACGUUGCUCGGAAUCACUGGGCGUAAAGGGCGUGUAGGCGGGAAGUAAAGUCAGAUGUGAAAUCCCUGGGCUCAACCCAGGAACUGCAUUUGAAACUCACUUUCUUGAGUACCGGAGAGGAAGGUGGAAUACCUGGUGUAGAGGUGAAAUUCGUAGAUAUCAGGUGGAACACCAGUGGCGAAGGCGGCCUUCUGGACGGUAACUGACGCUGAGACGCGAAAGCGUGGGGAGCAAACAGG